UACGUAGGCAGCAAGCGUUGUUCGGAAUUACUGGGCGUAAAGAGCGCGCAGGCGGUCGUGCAAGUCGCGUGUGAAAGCCCCCGGCUCCAACUGGGGAGGGUCACGCGAUACUGCUCGACUUGAAGGCAGGAGAGGGAAGUGGAAUUCCCGGUGUAGUGGUGAAAUGCGUAGAUAUCGGGAGGAACACCAGUGGCGAAGGCGACUUCCUGGCCUGUUCUUGACGCUGAGGCGCGAAAGCUAGGGUAGCAAACGGGG
rnacentral:rRNA from 1 species